rfam:Nitrospirae bacterium 13_1_40CM_62_7 13_1_40cm_scaffold_13713, whole genome shotgun sequence.
UCCCCGGUAGCUCAGUUGGUAGAGCGGUCGGCUGUUAACCGAUUGGUCGCAGGUUCGAGUCCUGCCCGGGGAG